AUUGAACGCUGGCGGCAUGCCUUACACAUGCAAGUCGAACGGCAGCACGGGGGCAACCCUGGUGGCGAGUGGCGAACGGGUGAGUAAUGCAUCGGAACGUGCCCAGUAGUGGGGGACAACCAGUCGAAAGAUUGGCUAAUACCGCAUACGACCUAUGGGUGAAAGCGGGGGACCGUAAGGCCUCGCGCUAUUGGAGCGGCCGAUGUCUGAUUAGCUAGUUGGUGAGGUAAAGGCUCACCAAGGCGACGAUCAGUAGCUGGUCUGAGAGGACGACCAGCCACACUGGGACGGAGACACGGCCCAGACUCCUACGGGAGGCAGCAGUGGGGAAUUUUGGACAAUGGGCGCAAGCCUGAUCCAGCCAGGCCGCGUGCGGGAAGAGGGCGUUCGGGUUGUAAACCGCUUUUGGCAGGAACGAAACGGCGACUCUUAAUACGGGUCGUUAAUGACGGUACCUGCAGAAUAAGCACCGGCUAACUACGUGCCAGCCGCCGCCGUAACAC
rnacentral:rRNA from 1 species